rnacentral:rRNA from 1 species
UACGAAGGGGGCUAGCGUUGCUCGGAAUCACUGGGCGUAAAGGGUGCGUAGGCGGGUCUUUAAGUCAGGGGUGAAAUCCUGGAGCUCAACUCCAGAACUGCCUUUGAUACUGAAGAUCUUGAGUUCGGGAGAGGUGAGUGGAACUGCGAGUGUAGAGGUGAAAUUCGUAGAUAUCGGGAGGAACACCGGUGGCGAAGGCGGCGACCUGGGUAGAUACUGACGCUGAGGUGCGAAAGCGUGGGGAGCAAACAGG